CAUGCAAGUCGAACGGUAACAGGAAGCAGCUUGCUGCUUCGCUGACGAGUGGCGGACGGGUGAGUAAUGUCUGGGAAACUGCCUGAUGGAGGGGGAUAACUACUGGAAACGGUGGCUAAUACCGCAUAACGUCGCAAGACCAAAGAGGGGGACCUUCGGGCCUCUUGCCAUCAGAUGUGCCCAGAUGGGAUUAGCUUGUUGGUGAGGUAACGGCUCACCAAGGCGACGAUCCCUAGCUGGUCUGAGAGGAUGACCAGCCACACUGGAACUGAGACACGGUCCAGACUCCUACGGGAGGCAGCAGUGGGGAAUAUUGCACAAUGGGCGCAAGCCUGAUGCAGCCAUGCCGCGUGUAUGAAGAAGGCCUUCGGGUUGUAAAGUACUUUCAGCGGGGAGGAAGGUGUUGUGGUUAAUAACC
rnacentral:rRNA from 1 species